AGACCCGAAACCCGGUGAUCUAGCCAUGGGCAGGUUGAAGGUUGGGUAACACUAACUGGAGGACCGAACCGACUAAUGUUGAAAAAUUAGCGGAUGACCUGUGGCUGGGGGUGAAAGGCCAAUCAAACCGGGAGAUAGCUGGUUCUCCCCGAAAGCUAUUUAGGUAGCGCCUCGUGAAUUCAUCUCCGGGGGUAGAGCACUGUUUCGGCUAGGGGGCCAUCCCGGCUUACCAACCCGAUGCAAACUGCGAAUACCGGAGAAUGUUAUCACGGGAGACACACGGCGGGUGCUAACGUCCGUCGUGAAGAGGGAAACAACCCAGACCGCCAGCUAAGGUCCCAAAGUCAUGGUUAAGUGGGAAACGAUGUGGGAAGGCCCAGACAGCCAGGAUGUUGGCUUAGAAGCAGCCAUCAUUUAAAGAAAGCGUAAUAGCUCACUGGUCGAGUCGGCCUGCGCGGAAGAUGUAACGGGGCUAAACCAUGCACCGAAGCUGCGGCAGCGACGCUGAUGCGUUGUUGGGUAGGGGAGCGUUCUGUAAGCCUGUGAAGGUGGCCUGUGAGGGUUGCUGGAGGUAUCAGAAGUGCGAAUGCUGACAUAAGUAACGAUAAAGCGGGUGAAAAGCCCGCUCGCCGGAAGACCAAGGGUUCCUGUCCAACGUUAAUCGGGGCAGGGUGAGUCGACCCCUAAGGCGAGGCCGAAAGGCGUAGUCGAUGGGAAACGGGUUAAUAUUCCCGUACUUGGUGUUACUGCGAAGGGGGGACGGAGAAGGCUAUGUUGGCCGGGCGACGGUUGUCCCGGUUUAAGCGUGUAGGUGUGUGUUCCAGGUAAAUCCGGUUCACUUUAACACUGAGGCGUGACGACGAGGCACUACGGUGCUGAAGCAACAAAUGCCCUGCUUCCAGGAAAAGCCUCUAAGCAUCAGGUAACAUCAAAUCGUACCCCAAACCGACACAGGUGGUCAGGUAGAGAAUACCAAGGCGCUUGAGAGAACUCGGGUGAAGGAACUAGGCAAAAUGGUGCCGUAACUUCGGGAGAAGGCACGCUGACACGUAGGUGAAGUGAUUUACUCAUGGAGCUGAAGUCAGUCGAAGAUACCAGCUGGCUGCAACUGUUUAUUAAAAACACAGCACUGUGCAAACACGAAAGUGGACGUAUACGGUGUGACGCCUGCCCGGUGCCGGAAGGUUAAUUGAUGGGGUCAGCGCAAGCGAAGCUCCUGAUCGAAGCCCCGGUAAACGGCGGCCGUAACUAUAACGGUCCUAAGGUAGCGAAAUUCCUUGUCGGGUAAGUUCCGACCUGCACGAAUGGCGUAAUGAUGGCCAGGCUGUCUCCACCCGAGACUCAGUGAAAUUGAACUCGCUGUGAAGAUGCAGUGUACCCGCGGCAAGACGGAAAGACCCCGUGAACCUUUACUAUAGCUUGACACUGAACAUUGAGCCUUGAUGUGUAGGAUAGGUGGGAGGCUUUGAAGCGUG
rnacentral:rRNA from 1 species